GUGCCAGCAGCCGCGGUAAUUCCAGCUCCAAUAGCGUAUAUUAAAGUUGUUGCGGUUAAAAAGCUCGUAGUUGGAUCUCGGCAGGUAGGGGGCGGUUCGUUUCUGACGGCACUGCCCCAUUUACCUGUGUUUUUGACGGAGGUCUCAAGGUGGCUUUAAACGGCUGUCUUGGUACGCCGUCAGGUUUACUUUGAAAAAAUUAGAGUGCUCAAAGCAGGCUACAAAGCUUGAAUAUUUGUGCAUGGAAUAAUGGAAUAGGAAGUCGUUUCUAUUUUUUUUGGUUUUCGGAAAUUGACUUAAUGAUUAAUAGGGACAGCCGGGGGCAUUAGUACUCAGACGACAGAGGUGAAAUUCUUGGACCGUUUGAGGACUAACUACUGCGAAAGCAUUUGCCAAGAGUGUUUUCAUUAAUCAAGGACGAAAGUUAGAGGUUCGAAGGCGAUCAGAUACCGCCCUAGUUCUAACCAUAAACGAUGCUGACUAGCGAUCCGUAGCUGUUUUCUAUGUAGGCUCUACGGGAAGCUUCCGGGAAACCAAAGUUUUUGAGUUCCGGGGGAAGUAUGGUUGCAAAGCUGAAACUUAAAGGAAUUGACGGAAGGGCACCACCAGGAGUGGAGCCUGCGGCUUAAUUUGACUCAACACGGGAAAUCUCACCAGGCCCGGACACUGGAAGGAUUGACAGAUUGAGAGCUCUUUCUCGAUUCAGUGGGUGGUGGUGCACGGCCGUUCUUAGUUGGUGGAGUGAUUUGUCUGGUUAAUUCCGAUAACGAACGAGACUCUGUCCUGCUAAAUAGGUGUGCCGUCUCUUUUGCGGUACACAUUCUUCUUAGAGGGACUGGCGGCGUCUAGCCGCACGAGAUUGAGCAAUAACAGGUCUGUGAUGC
rnacentral:rRNA from 1 species